rnacentral:rRNA from 1 species
GACGAACGCUGGCGGCGUGCUUAACACAUGCAAGUCGAACGGAAAGGCCCUGCUUGCAGGGUGCUCGAGUGGCGAACGGGUGAGUAACACGUGGGUGAUCUGCCCCUUACUUUGGGAUAAGCCUGGGAAACUGGGUCUAAUACUGGAUAGGACCAUGCUGUAGGUGGUGUGGUGGAAAGAUUAGUUUCGGUAAGGGAUGAGCUCGCGGCCUAUCAGCUUGUUGGUGGGGUAAUGGCCUACCAAGGCGUCGACGGGUAGCCGGCCUGAGAGGGUGGACGGCCACAUUGGGACUGAGAUACGGCCCAGACUCCUACGGGAGGCAGCAGUGGGGAAUAUUGCACAAUGGGAGCAAGCCUGAUGCAGCGACGCCGCGUGGGGGAUGACGGCAUUCGGGUUGUAAACUCCUUUCAGCCAUGACGAAGCCCUUGUGGUGACGGUAGUGGUAGAAGAAGCACCGGCUAACUACGUG